rnacentral:sRNA from 1 species
GCUCCUGCCAACCGCGUUGCUGGUAAGUGAUUGCUGGUAGGGAUUAUUGAAUGUCCAUUGGAAACAAAAUGCAGUCAAUCUUUCCAGCAGUCAUUGUUACUCUACCCCUUAAUAGACCAGAGAAGCUAUGACACUGUAUUCCCAGCAACAAAAAUGCUUACGUUCCGAAUUGGGCGAAUCGUUAGGAUGAUGAAAUACGUCCCCGUUCCCGGCGACCGAGGAAUUCCUCCUACCCCUCAAGAUCCCUACUUUCAUGGAUCUCUAAGUUGCACUCUUCUGAUAUUCUUGGGCAUGUCGAGAUGAUUCGCUUGAUGAAAAGACAGCAUUUUAACCAUUAACCCAAGGCAUAAGAGAACUAGUAAUACAUAUGUUCCCUUAAGAGUGAAAUGAUUGGCCAAGUAACUUUUACUUUCCGGCCUGUUCAACUCGACAAGCAGAUUCGUUGGGGUCUUAAAACCCCCUAAGGGAGGGUUUCUCGAACCUAACUCGAGGCUUGCGGAUGCAAGAAGGGAAGUGGCUUGUUCCCGUGGUAUAUACGAUUUUUGUUAUAAAGUUUGAGUCCUUCCCUAUUUGAAGCUCAUUCGACGAAUUUUGCUUAGAUAGAUUGUAUAUAAAGAUUC